ensembl:lncRNA
GUCUUGGCAGGGCAAUAAUGUUAAUGUUAGUCAAUAACUCUUUUCAGCAAGCGAUAGUCCUUCUGUUUUUGAGUGUGUUGCUGCUGUUUGUUAGCGCCCUGUCAUAUUUGACUUUUAGACGAGGCUAUUUUUAAGCGCGCAGCUUCACGGUUCACAUUUUUUAUGUGCCGAAAGCACGAUUACCAUCAGUCCUCCUGCUAGUGACAGAUAAUAUCAUGUGUACUGUUAAUGUCGUGGCAAGGCAAUAAUGUUAACGUUAGUCAAUAACUCUUUUCAGCAAGUGAUAGUCAUUCUGUUUUUAAGUGUGUUGCUGCUGUUUGUGUUAAGCGCCCUGCUCUGGUAGGUUCAAUGUGAUGUUAUUCCUACAUGCACCCAAAUGAGCAAGUGGCUAAAGUUAGCUGUAAUUUUGACUCAAACAAAGUUGAGGUUAUGGACAUAAUAGUUACCGAAUGAACUCUGCAAGUUUUUAUUAAACCUUUACAAAUGUCUUUUCAUUAUAGGUUGAAGUGGAAGAAGUGCAGUGAGCAUCCCCCAAAAUCAAGGUGACUCAAAUGUUAAUUUAGGCUGUAACCUAUUGUUCACCAUUUCUUUUAUUUGGAGCCUUAUUCAUUAGCAUAUAAAGCUAGCCUUACAAUAUCUCUUGAGCUAAUAUUUGUGAAUAACAAGUUAGCCACCCUCUGAAGUGGAACAACAUGGUUUCUGUGUUGUCAGACAAUUAAUUUAAAGGUGAAGGAAGAGCGGAAGCAGACACACUCUGUGUGAUUUCAAAAUAUCGAAGCAUAAAGCAGAUAAGACCCCACCUGUAUUUUGAAAUCUGAUAACAUUGUUAUUUGUACUUUUGGUCAUAAAGUGCUUCACUGGUUGGGGGGUCAGCCCUGGUCUAGAUCAGUUAGGAUAUUUUAGGCAGUCAGCUGUGAAUGCAUGGACACUGAAGACUUUGAUUGUUUUUUUGCAAAGUGAGUUGUAAUAGUAUCUAUAAAACCCAGUCUUUGCCAAUUAUUUUUGCUUUUUCUGUCCUUGAGUAAAUCAAUCAAAAGUCGCUUAAAAAUUAAAUAUCUUGCUGUCUGUUUUUGUGUGCAUGUGCAGACCUACAUUGUCACCAGAGAGCAACUUUAUUGGACCAACUUAGUCCAAAUAUUGAACAAGUCUGACCUUUCUGUGGUAAUCAUACAUUUCACAUGCAGGAACAUUAACUAUGUUAAGUUUAUGAGUAGUGAGUCUGAAGCAUAAGGAAU